rnacentral:pre_miRNA from 1 species
AAUAAAGUCAUUUUUUAGUUUUUAGAUACAAUAUUUUCACUCUUCCUCUUAUUUGAAUUUUUUUACGAUUAAUAUGUUUUUUGUUACUAGAUAAUAAAAUAUAAAUAGUACUUUAUGCGUGACUAUAUUUUUAAGUUUUUGUAUAAAUUUUUUAAAUAAGACGAAUGGUUAAACAUUGGAUACGGAAAACGAAAAAUAAAAUUAUU